GCUAACGUAGCAAAAUUCGGCAUUGCUAAAGACCUAAACUCUUUUUAUAGAAGUUCAAAUCUUCUCAUUAGCU
rnacentral:tRNA from 1 species